rnacentral:rRNA from 1 species
GAUGAACGCUGGCGGCGUGCCUAAUACAUGCAAGUCGAGCGAACAGACGAGGAGCUUGCUCCUCUGACGUUAGCGGCGGACGGGUGAGUAACACGUGGAUAACCUACCUAUAAGACUGGGAUAACUUCGGGAAACCGGAGCUAAUACCGGAUAACAUGUUGAACCGCAUGGUUCAACAGUGAAAGACGGUCUUGCUGUCACUUAUAGAUGGAUCCGCGCCGCAUUAGCUAGUUGGUAAGGUAACGGCUUACCAAGGCAACGAUGCGUAGCCGACCUGAGAGGGUGAUCGGCCACACUGGAACUGAGACACGGUCCAGACUCCUACGGGAGGCAGCAGUAGGGAAUCUUCCGCAAAGGGCGAAAUCCUGACGGAGCAACGCCGCGUGAGUGAAGAAGGUCUUCGGAUCGUAAAACUCUGUUAUUAGGGAAGAACAAAUGUGUAAGUAACUAUGCACGUCUUGACGGUACCUAAUCAGAAAGCCACGGCUAACUACGUG